rnacentral:rRNA from 1 species
GAUGAACGCUGGCGGCGUGCUUAACACAUGCAAGUCGAACGGUGAAGCCAAGCUUGCUUGGUGGAUCAGUGGCGAACGGGUGAGUAACACGUGAGCAACCUGCCCUGGACUCUGGGAUAACAGUUGGAAACAGCUGCUAAUACUGGAUAUGAGCUGCGGAGGCAUCUUCGUGGUUGGAAAGAUUUUUUGGUCUGGGAUGGGCUCGCGGCCUAUCAGCUUGUUGGUGAGGUAAUGGCUCACCAAGGCGUCGACGGGUAGCCGGCCUGAGAGGGUGACCGGCCACACUGGGACUGAGACACGGCCCAGACUCCUACGGGAGGCAGCAGUGGGGAAUAUUGCACAAUGGGCGGAAGCCUGAUGCAGCAACGCCGCGUGAGGGAUGACGGCCUUCGGGUUGUAAACCUCUUUUAGCAAGGAAGAAGCGAAAGUGACGGUACUUGCAGAAAAAGCGCCGGCUAACUACGUGCCAGCAGCCGCAGUAA